rnacentral:rRNA from 1 species
UGGGGAAUAUUGCACAAUGGGCGCAAGCCUGAUGCAGCCAUGCCGCGUGUAUGAAGAAGGCCUUCGGGUUGUAAAGUACUUUCAGCGGGGAGGAAGGGAGUAAAGUUAAUACCUUUACUCAUUGACGUUACCCGCAGAAGAAGCACCGGCUAACUCCGUGCCAGCAGCCGCGGUAAUACGGAGGGUGCAAGCGUUAAUCGGAAUUACUGGGCGUAAAGCGCACGCAGGCGGUUUGUUAAGUCAGAUGUGAAAUCCCCGGGCUCAACCUGGGAACUGCAUCUGAUACUGGCAAGCUUGAGUCUCGUAGAGGGGGGUAGAAUUCCAGGUGUAGCGGUGAAAUGCGUAGAGAUCUGGAGGAAUACCGGUGGCGAAGGCGGCCCCCUGGACGAAGACUGACGCUCAGGUGCGAAAGCGUGGGGAGCAAACA